CGGCAACAGCUCAAAUUUGAAAUCUGGCCCUCUCAGGGUCCGAGUUGUAUUCUGGAGAAGUGUUUUCUGUGCUGGACCGUGUACAAGUCCCUUGGAACAGGGCCGUCGUAGAGGGUGAGAAUCCCGUCUUUGACACGGACCCCCGGCACUGUGGGAUGCGCUCUCGAA
rnacentral:rRNA from 1 species